UGGGGAAUAUUGCGCAAUGGGGGGAACCCUGACGCAGCCAUGCCGCGUGAAUGAAGAAGGCCUUCGGGUUGUAAAGUUCUUUCGGUAAUGAGGAAGGGAUGUUAUUAAAUAGAUAGCAUCAUUGACGUUAAUUACAGAAGAAGCACCGGCUAACUCCGUGCCAGCAGCCGCGGUAAUACGGAGGGUGCGAGCGUUAAUCGAAAUAACUGGGCGUAAAGGGCACGCAGGCGAACUUUUUAAGUGAGAUGUGAAAUCCCCCGAGCUUAACUUGGGAACUGCAUUUCAGACUGGGAGUCUAGAGUACUUUAGGGAGGGGUAGAAUUCCACGUGUAGCGGUGAAAUGCGUAGAGAUGUGGAGGAAUACCGAAGGCGAAGGCAGCCCCUUGGGAAUGUACUGACGCUCAUGUGCGAAAGCGUGGGGAGCAAACAGGAUUAGAUACCCUGGUAGUCCACGCUGUAAACGCUGUCGAUUUGGGGAUUGGGCUAUAUGCUUGGUGCCCGAAGCUAACGUGAUAAAUCGACCGCCUGGGGAGUACGGCCGCAAGGUUA
rnacentral:rRNA from 1 species